UACAGAGGUCCCAAGCGUUGUUCGGAUUCACUGGGCGUAAAGGGUGCGUAGGCGGCCAACUAAGUCAGACGUGAAAUCCCUCGGCUUAACCGGGGAACUGCAUCUGAUACUGGAUGGCUUGAGUUCGGGAGAGGGAUGCGGAAUUCCAGGUGUAGCGGUGAAAUGCGUAGAUAUCUGGAGGAACACCGGUGGCGAAGGCAGCUCGCUGGGACGGUACUGACGCUGAGGCGCGAAAGCGUGGGGAGCGAACAGG
rnacentral:rRNA from 1 species